GCCUGGCUGGCUCAGUCAGUAGAGCAUGCGACUCUUAAUCUUGAAGACAUGAGUUCCAGCUCAUGUUGGGUG
rnacentral:tRNA from 1 species